AACUAAGAACUAUGUAAUGGUUCAGUAAAUCCACUCAAGAUAUUCAAAAUCCACAAAUGCAAUCCCAACUUGAACAUUGAGUAGUCAUUCUUUCAGCCCCAACUGGUAGUAUGGAUCCUUGGAUUCCUGCAGAUAUGAAUCAAGAAACGACGCACCUCAUGGUAAGUCAUUUAAAGACAACAGUAAACAUAUUUCAAUGUAAAGAAAAAGAAGGGAAUUUAUCACCUUAUAAUGCUUAAAUUAACAAUUUAAGUUAUACUGAUCGAAACAACAAAAUUAUUAUCAAUACCUACAAAAUAAUCUAAAUUCAACAAUCCUAUCAGAAUACUUAUGAACCUUUGGUUGAUUGAAUGGCCAACUGUAUCCAGAAAUAAGAAACUAACCCCACCUCUAUGCAUGAUCACUACAGAAGCAAUCUAUAGCAAAGAAGUUGAGUUAUCUGAUUGACGAGAAUUCCUCCUAACUCUUCUGGGACAAAAUAACUACGAACAUCAUUCACCAUUUUCAAUUCAUUUAUUCGUCUGUCACAAAAAGAUUGAAGAUCAAAUUUUUGCAACAUAUGUAACUAUCACUUUAUCAACUAUUUACAUUAUUCUCUGACGUGGAAGCAAUAAAUCUCAAUUAAAAUCUUGAUGCAUAUCUGUUUAUGAGGAAAAAAAGAGAUAGAGAUAUGAAGAAAAAGUAGCUUUUUAUGCAAUGUAAAUUUUAAGACAAACCAAACUGGAAAACUCGAUAAUAGAUCCCGAAAAUGGAACAUAAUUAUAAAAAUUCUUGUAUACAAUACUACAGUUAACGUAGAAGAUGUAUUAUUCUGCUUCUCUUGGCAGCAAGAUUGCUUCUCUUAGAAGAUGUAACAUUGACUAUUGGCAGCAAGAUUGCUUCUGUUAAUUUGCUCAAAGUUUCAAUCAAUCAGUUAGACGUAUCCGGCUGUUAAUUAAUGAAAAAUAGUGGUCGUCAUAUAAGAUCAUUCAAGCAUAUGAGAUUUCUACAACACUACAAAAGCUUAAAUCUUUUCAAAUGGGCGUUCCAAAUUUUUUUUUUUAAACAUUUCAAUCCUUAAAUGUCAUAGCAAAAGCACAAACACAUAUUUUUUUACAAAUUUAAAUCAAAAAGAAAAAAAAAAUUGAUCAACAAUUGUUAAUUUUUCCAAGAUAUCUUUCUCUCAGACAUUCUAUCAAACAUUUGGUUAGCAAAAUAAGCAACAGAUUAGACAAUAACUUAUGGACCUUUCAAAAAUGAGAUUGCAUCCGUCUUCUCCAAUUCCUUGUAUUUUUUCUUGGACUGAGAACAUUCCACUUUAGAAACCCAUUAUUGACUGUUUCGAGCAAAUAGUUUCAGAGUGGAGGGUUUUGAAAGAAUUGGAGAAGAGUUUUUUUAUUGAGGGUAUUGAAGAAUCGGCGAACGGGAGGCCAGAUGACGAGGCGGUAUUCCUCACAAGUUCCACCGAGGGUCCCACGCUUCUCGAUGCAGGUGGUCUUGAGGCCA
rnacentral:lncRNA from 1 species